rnacentral:rRNA from 1 species
GGUUAAGUGACUAAGCGUACACGGUGGAUGCCUAGGCAGUCAGAGGCGAUGAAGGGCGUGCUAAUCUGCGAAAAGCGUCGGUAAGGUGAUAUGAACCGUUACAACCGGCGAUACCCGAAUGGGGAAACCCAGUGUGUUUCGACACACUAUCAUGUCAUGAAUACAUAGUGGCAUGAGGCGAACCGGGGGAACUGAAACAUCUAAGUACCCCGAGGAAAAGAAAUCAACCGAGAUUCCCCCAGUAGCGGCGAGCGAACGGGGAGGAGCCCAGAACCUGAAUCGGCUUGUGUGUUAGUGGAAGCGUCUGGAAAGUCGCGCAGUAAAGGGUGAUAGCCCCGUACACUAAAAUGCACAGGUCGUGAGUUCGAUGAGUAGGGCGGGACACGUGACAUCCUGUCUGAAUAUGGGGGGACCAUCCUCCAAGGCUAAAUACUCCUGACUGACCGAUAGUGAACCAGUACCGUGAGGGAAAGGCGAAAAGAACCCCGGCGAGGGGAGUGAAAUAGAACCUGAAACCGUGUACGUACAAGCAGUGGGAGCACCUUCGUGGUGUGACUGCGUACCUUUUGUAUAAUGGGUCAGCGACUUAUAUUUUGUAGCAAGGUUAACCGUAUAGGGGAGCCGUAGGGAAACCGAGUCUUAACUGGGCGAAUAGUUGCAAGGUAUAGACCCGAAACCCGGUGAUCUAGCCAUGGGCAGGUUGAAGGUUGGGUAACACUAACUGGAGGACCGAACCGACUAAUGUUGAAAAAUUAGCGGAUGACUUGUGGCUGGGGGUGAAAGGCCAAUCAAACCGGGAGAUAGCUGGUUCUCCCCGAAAGCUAUUUAGGUAGCGCCUCGUGAACUCAUCUUCGGGGGUAGAGCACUGUUUCGGCUAGGGGGCCAUCCCGGCUUACCAAACCGAUGCAAACUCCGAAUACCGAAGAAUGUUAUCACGGGAGACACACGGCGGGUGCUAACGUCCGUCGUGAAGAGGGAAACAACCCAGACCGCCAGCUAAGGUCCCAAAGUCAUGGUUAAGUGGGAAACGAUGUGGGAAGGCAUAGACAGCCAGGAUGUUGGCUUAGAAGCAGCCAUCAUUUAAAGAAAGCGUAAUAGCUCACUGGUCGAGUCGGCCUGCGCGGAAGAUGUAACGGGGCUAAACCAUGCACCGAAGCUGCGGCAGCGACGCUUAGGCGUUGUUGGGUAGGGGAGCGUUCUGUAAGCCGUUGAAGGUGGCCUGUGAGGGUUGCUGGAGGUAUCAGAAGUGCGAAUGCUGACAUAAGUAACGAUAAAGCGGGUGAAAAGCCCGCUCGCCGGAAGACCAAGGGUUCCUGUCCAACGUUAAUCGGGGCAGGGUGAGUCGACCCCUAAGGCGAGGCUGAAAAGCGUAGUCGAUGGGAAACAGGUUAAUAUUCCUGUACUUGGUGUUACUGCGAAGGGGGGACGGAGAAGGCUAGGCUAGCCGGGCGACGGUUGUCCCGGUUUAAGCGUGUAGGGGGUGUGACCUGGUAAAUCCGGUUGCAUAUCAACCCUGAGGCGUGAUGACGAUGCACUACGGUGCAGAAGUAGUUGAUGCCCUGCUUCCAGGAAAAUCCUCUAAGCUCCAGGUAACAUUAAAUCGUACCCCAAACCGACACAGGUGGUCAGGUAGAGAAUACCAAGGCGCUUGAGAGAACUCGGGUGAAGGAACUAGGCAAAAUGGUGCCGUAACUUCGGGAGAAGGCACGCUGGCAUGUAGGUGAAGUCCCUCGCGGAUGGAGCUGAAGCCAGUCGAAGAUACCAGCUGGCUGCAACUGUUUAAUAAAAACACAGCACUGUGCAAACACGAAAGUGGACGUAUACGGUGUGACGCCUGCCCGGUGCUGGAAGGUUAAUUGAUGGGGUCAGCCGCAAGGCGAAGCUCUUGAUCGAAGCCCCAGUAAACGGCGGCCGUAACUAUAACGGUCCUAAGGUAGCGAAAUUCCUUGUCGGGUAAGUUCCGACCUGCACGAAUGGCGUAAUGAUGGCCAGGCUGUCUCCACCCGAGACUCAGUGAAAUUGAACUCGCUGUGAAGAUGCAGUGUACCCGCGGCAAGACGGAAAGACCCCGUGAACCUUUACUAUAGCUUGACACUGAACAUUGAGCCUUGAUGUGUAGGAUAGGUGGGAGGCUUUGAAGCGUGGACGCCAGUCUGCGUGGAGCCAUCCUUGAAAUACCACCCUUUAAUGUUUGAUGUUCUAACUCGGCCCCAUAAUCUGGGGUGAGGACAGUGUCUGGUGGGUAGUUUGACUGGGGCGGUCUCCUCCCAAAGAGUAACGGAGGAGCACGAAGGUUAGCUAAUCACGGUCGGACAUCGUGAGGUUAGUGCAAAGGCAUAAGCUAGCUUGACUGCGAGAGUGACGGCUCGAGCAGGUACGAAAGUAGGUCUUAGUGAUCCGGUGGUUCUGAAUGGAAGGGCCAUCGCUCAACGGAUAAAAGGUACUCCGGGGAUAACAGGCUGAUACCGCCCAAGAGUUCAUAUCGACGGCGGUGUUUGGCACCUCGAUGUCGGCUCAUCACAUCCUGGGGCUGAAGUAGGUCCCAAGGGUAUGGCUGUUCGCCAUUUAAAGUGGUACGCGAGCUGGGUUUAGAACGUCGUGAGACAGUUCGGUCCCUAUCUGCCGUGGGCGUUGGAAGAUUGAGAGGGGUUGCUCCUAGUACGAGAGGACCGGAGUGAACGCACCACUGGUGUUCGGGUUGUCAUGCCAAUGGCAUUGCCCGGUAGCUAAGUGCGGAAAAGAUAAGCGCUGAAAGCAUCUAAGCGCGAAACUUGCCUCAAGAUGAGUCUUCCCUGGGCCUUUAAGGCCCCUGAAGGAACGUUUAAGACUAAGACGUUGAUAGGCUGGGUGUGUAAGUGCAGCGAUGCAUUGAGCUAACCAGUACUAAUGAUCCGUGAGGCUUAACCUU